UACGUAGGGGGCAAGCGUUAUCCGGAUUUACUGGGUGUAAAGGGAGCGUAGGCGGCAAGACAAGUCUGAUGUGAAAGCCCGGGGCUCAACCCCGGGACUGCAUUGGAAACUGUUUAGCUAGAGUGUCGGAGAGGUAAGUGGAAUUCCUAGUGUAGCGGUGAAAUGCGUAGAUAUUAGGAGGAACAUCAGUGGCGAAGGCGACUUACUGGACGAUAACUGACGCUGAGGCUCGAAAGCGUGGGGAGCAAACAGGAUUAGAUACCCUGGUAGUCCACGCUGUAAACGAUGAAUACUAGGUGUCGGGUGGCAAAGCCAUUCGGUGCCGCAGCUAACGCAAUAAGUAUUCCACCUGGGGAGUACGUUCGCAAGAAUGAA
rnacentral:rRNA from 1 species